GCUGAAUAUGUUGUUAGAACUUUGAACAAAAACGAGCAGUUAGCAGAAAUUAAACUCCUUAGGAUUUCCAUUAAAACCGCGGAACUCCACAGAAAUAAUUUGGAGCAACAACUUAGCUGCAUUUUCACCAACGGCCAGCAACGCACAUUUUCGGGUUAUUUUUUGUUGUAUGAUCACAUGUAUACGUACGUGAGUGGGUUAAAUAUUCACUCGGCCUAAGACACACUCUAUAUGUUUAUCCACACGUUUACCCCCAUGUUACCCACUGAUUAUCUAGUUUUUUACCCGCUGAUGGUUGGCAGGGUAUGUUGCAAAAUAUAUUAAAGUUCACAUAUGGAAUCAAACGGCGGAAUUGAAAGAAGAAGACAUAGCAAGCAGUAUUUGACGACGUAAAUGGUAUUGAUUUUCAUAUGUGUAUGUACAAAUUACGUCCAGAAGCACUUAUAUUUAAGUAAUUUUGUAAAUUGUAGCUCGAAAGUAAAAGAAUUGUUUUUUAGAACUAGAAUGUAUUUUAGGAUUCGUUCCUUAAAUAAAAACUUAAUUGAACAUAGGUAUAGCAAAAAAAGAAAAUUAAAUAAGACAAUAAAUUGAUACUUGAUUACAAAAUAUUCAAUCUUUUUAUUUACAUAAAUGUACAGUGGACCAAUAAAGUUUACAUACACCUAGUUCUAUUAAAUUACGUCACUUUUAUCUGUUAUAACAUGAAUAUAUUUUGUGGUGUUUUUCUAACCAUUUCAAAAGAUGUAUACUUAACAUUACAUUUAGCAAAUCAAAAUAUUUUUUUUUACACAAAUAAAAAAAUUAAUGCUUAAGCUUAAAAUGGGCAUAAUUUAUAUUAAAAAAGUUUACGUACACUAAUGAUUAUUUAUAUAAAUCAAAAGUAAUUACAUUAGUUUCAGCGGUUUUUGGCCUACAUUUUAUUGCUAUUAUUGUCCCUAGACAUCGGUGUAUGCUGCCCACUCAAUUUCUAGUAUUAUUUCCGGAUAUCUUGACCCACUAAGUCCAUGAUCCAGCUUUUUGGCUUUAUUUUGAUGAAAUUCGCUGUCUCCGAAUACGAUUUUCCAAAAAGUUAUAGAUAUUUUGAAUAGGAUUAUUGAACGGUGAUUGGGUUCGACGUCGAGAAGCUGCAAUCACAACAGACAGCCGAAAGAUUUUCUACUCGGCUUGCACUCCUACUCUCUGAGAGCACUCGUCAACAUCUCGAUAUAAGGGAACUGCGGGACGGCAUUUCAAACUCCUUACGGACAGCUGCAACCGAAACCAUUGGUUUUCGGAAAGUGCAAAAGAACAGCUGGUACGACGAGGAGUGCCGUGUCGCAGCGGAGAGAAAACAGGCUGCCUAAAUCGCAACGUUACGAUCGACCACAACACGUGCGGGAUGGGAUAGAUACCAAGAGUUGAAGAGGGAAGCGA